rnacentral:rRNA from 1 species
AGCGCGGUGGUCCCACCUGACCCCAUGCCGAACUCAGAAGUGAAACGCCGUAGUGCCGAUGGUAGUGUGGGGUCUCCCCAUGCGAGAGUAGGGAACUGCCAGGC